CGUGUGCUUACAAGUAGUCAGAGCCCGUUAAUGGGUGAUGGCGUGCCUUUUGUAGAAUGAACCGGCGAGUUACGAUUUGAUGCAAGGUUAAGCAGUAAAUGUGGAGCCGUAGCGAAAGCGAGUCUGAAUAGGGCGUUUAGUAUUUGGUCGUAGACCCGAAACCAGGUGAUCUACCCUUGGUCAGGUUGAAGUUCAGGUAACACUGAAUGGAGGACCGAACCGACUUACGUUGAAAAGUGAGCGGAUGAACUGAGGGUAGCGGAGAAAUUCCAAUCGAACCUGGAGAUAGCUGGUUCUCUCCGAAAUAGCUUUAGGGCUAGCCUCAAGUGAUGAUUAUUGGAGGUAGAGCACUGUUUGGACGAGGGGCCCCUCUCGGGUUACCGAAUUCAGACAAACUCCGAAUGCCAAUUAAUUUAACUUGGGAGUCAGAACAUGGGUGAUAAGGUCCGUGUUCGAAAGGGAAACAGCCCAGACCACCAGCUAAGGUCCCAAAAUAUAUGUUAAGUGGAAAAGGAUGUGGCGUUGCCCAGACAACUAGGAUGUUGGCUUAGAAGCAGCCAUCAUUUAAAGAGUGCGUAAUAGCUCACUAGUCGAGUGACACUGCGCCGAAAAUGUACCGGGGCUAAACAUAUUACCGAAGCUGUGGAUUGUCCUUUGGACAAUGGUAGGAGAGCGUUCUAAGGGCGUUGAAGCAUGAUCGUAAGGACAUGUGGAGCGCUUAGAAGUGAGAAUGCCGGUGUGAGUAGCGAAAGACGGGUGAGAAUCCCGUCCACCGAUUGACUAAGGUUUCCAGAGGAAGGCUC
rnacentral:rRNA from 1 species